rnacentral:rRNA from 1 species
GACGAACGCUGGCGGCGUGCUUAACACAUGCAAGUCGAACGAAGAGCGACGGAAGCUUGCUUCUAUCAAUCUUAGAGGCGAACGGGUGAGUAACGCGUAAUCAACCUGCCCUUCAGAGGGGGACAACAGUUGGAAACGACUGCUAAUACCGCAUACGAUCUAAUCUCGGCAUCGAGGAUGGAUGAAAGGUGGCCUCUACAUGUAAGCUAUCACUGAAGGAGGGGAUUGCGUCUGAUUAGCUAGUUGGAGGGGUAACGGCCCACCAAGGCGAUGAUCAGUAGCCGGUCUGAGAGGAUGAACGGCCACAUUGGGACUGAGACACGGCCCAGACUCCUACGGGAGGCAGCAGUGGGGAAUCUUCCGCAAUGGACGAAAGUCUGACGGAGCAACGCCGCGUGAGUGAUGACGGCCUUCGGGUUGUAAAGCUCUGUUAAUCGGGACGAAAGGCCUUCUUGCGAAUAGUGAGAAGGAUUGACGGUACCGGAAUAGAAAGCCACGGCUAACUACGUG